UGAUAUAGCUCAGCAGCAUAAGCACCUGUCUGGAAAGCACAAGGUCCUGAGUUCAAUUCCCAGUAUCA
rnacentral:tRNA from 1 species